CUUGAUCGAGCCCAGCCACAGCGGGGCGCCCGGGCGGUCCUGGCCGUAGGUCGCCAGCACCGCCUGGGCCUC
rnacentral:antisense_RNA from 1 species